rnacentral:rRNA from 1 species
UGCCCUAGUAACGGCGAGUGAAGCGGCAACAGCUCAAAUUUGAAAGCUGGCCUUCGGGUCCGCAUUGUAAUUUGUAGAGGAUGCUUUGGGUGAAACGCCAGUCUAAGUUCCUUGGAACAGGACGUCAUAGAGGGUGAGAAUCCCGUAUGUGACUGGAAAUGUUAACCUAUGUAAAGCUCCUUCGACGAGUCGAGUUGUUUGGGAAUGCAGCUCUAAAUGGGAGGUAAAUUUCUUCUAAAGCUAAAUAUUGGCGAGAGACCGAUAGCGCACAAGUAGAGUGAUCGAAAGAUGAAAAGCACUUUGGAAAGAGAGUUAAAAAGCACGUGAAAUUGUUGAAAGGGAAGCGCUUGCAAUCAGACUUGUUUAAACUGUUCGGCCGGUCUUCUGACCGGUUUACUCAGUUUGGACAGGCCAGCAUCAGUUUCGGCGGCCGGAUAAAGGCUCUGGGAAUGUGGCCUUCACUUCGGUGAAGGUGUUAUAGCCCAGGGUGUAAUACGGCCAGCCGGGACUGAGGUCCGCGCUUCGGCUAGGAUGCUGGCGUAAUGGUUGUAAGCGACCCGUCUUGAA